CCUACGGGUGGCAGCAGUGAGGAAUAUUGGUCAAUGGUCGUAAGACUGAACCAGCCAAGUAGCGUGCAGGAUGACGGCCCUAUGGGUUGUAAACUGCUUUUAUGCGGGGAUAAAAUGCGUCACGUGUGAUGUUUUGUAGGUACCGCAUGAAUAAGGACCGGCUAAUUCCGUGCCAGCAGCCGCGGUAAUACGGAGGAUGCGAGCGUUAUCCGGAUUUAUUGGGUUUAAAGGGUGCGUAGGCGGCCUGUUAAGUUAGUGGUAAAAUGUCGGGGCUAAACCCCGGAUUGCCAUUAAAACUGGCGGGCUCGAGUACAGACGAGGUAGGCGGAAUAAGUCAAGUAGCGGUGAAAUGCUUAGAUAUGACUUAGAACUCCGAUAGCGAAGGCAGCUUACCAGGCUGAGACUGACGCUGAAGCACGAGAGCGUGGGUAGCGAACAGGAUUAGAUACCCUAGUAGUC
rnacentral:rRNA from 1 species